rfam:Lupinus angustifolius cultivar Tanjil contig_1835, whole genome shotgun sequence.
AGGUGCGAUCAUACCAACACUAAUACACCCAAUCCCAUCAGAAUUCUGCAGAUAAGUGUGCUUAGGCGAGAGUAGUACUAGGAUGGGUGUCCUCCUGGGAAGUCCUCGUGUUGCACCUC